CGCACCUUGCACCCUUUGGUAUUCCGAAGGGUACGCCCGUUUGAGUGUCAUUGUAAUCUCACCUUCACAACUUUUGUCGUGGAAGUGGACUUGGACGUUGUCGUGUCAAUACGGCUCGUCUUAAAGGAAUGAGUGUGACCUGCUGUGCAGUGUUAACCAGUGUGAUAAGUAUCUUCACUGUAAGCCUCUCGAGGCGCACUGUCGGUGUUGGGCCCAUGCUUCAAACCGUCCCUCGGGACAACUCUUGACAAUUUGACCUCAAAUCGGGUGGGACUACCCGCUGAACUUAA
rnacentral:misc_RNA from 1 species